GUCCAGCUGACGAGUCCCAAAUGGGACUAACCGCGCGUCCUGAC
rnacentral:hammerhead_ribozyme from 1 species